ACAUAGAUUAUGAUCAUGGCUCAGAAUUGAACGCUGGCGGCNUGGCCUAACACAUGCAAGUCGAGCGGAUGACGGGAGCUUGCUCCUUGAUUCAGCGGCGGACGGGUGAGUAAUGCCUAGGAAUCUGCCUGGUAGUGGGGGACAACGUUUCGAAAGGAACGCUAAUACCGCAUACGUCCUACGGGAGAAAGCAGUGUGACCUUCGGGCCUUGCGCUAUACAGAUGAGCCUAGGUCGGAUUAGCUAGUUGGUGAGGUAAUGGCUCACCAAGGCGACGAUCCGUAACUGGUCUNGAGAGGAUGAUCAGUCAACACUGGAACUGAGGACACGGUCCAGACUCCUACG
rnacentral:rRNA from 1 species